AUUGAACGCUGGCGGCAGGCCUAACACAUGCAAGUCGAACGAGUGGCGGACGGGUGAGUAAUGUCUGGGAAACUGCCUGAUGGAGGGGGAUAACUACUGGAAACGGUAGCUAAUACCGCAUACCAUCGGAUGUGCCCAGAUGGGAUUAGCUAGUAGGUGGGGUAAAGGCUCACCUAGGCGACGAUCCCUCGCUGGUCUGAGAGGAUGCCCAGCCACACUGAAACUGUGACACGGUCCAGACGCCUACGGGAGGCAGCAGUGGGGAAUAGUGCACCAUGAGGGCAAGCCUGAUGCAGCCAUGCCGCGUGUAUGAGGAAGGCCUUCGGGUUGUAAAGUACUUUCAGCGGGGAGGCGUUACCCGGAGAAGAAGCACCGGCUAACUCCGUGCCAGCAGCCGCGGUAAUUC
rnacentral:rRNA from 1 species